rnacentral:rRNA from 2 species
CAAGACCUUGCGCUUUUGGAGCGGCCGAUGUCUGAUUAGCUAGUUGGUGAGGUAAAGGCUUACCAAGGCGUCGAUCAGUAGCUGGUCUGAGAGGACGACCAGCCACACUGGGACUGAGACACGGCCCAGACUCCUACGGGAGGCAGCAGUGGGGAAUUUUGGACAAUGGGGGAAACCCUGAUCCAGCCAUGCCGCGUGAGUGAAGAAGGCCUUCGGGUUGUAAAGCUCUUUCAGCCGGAACGAAACGGUCACGGUUAAUACCCGUGACUACUGACGGUACCGGAAGAAGAAGCACCGGCUAACUACGUGCCAGCAGCCGCGGUAAUACGUAGGGUGCGAGCGUUAAUCGGAAUUACUGGGCGUAAAGCGUGCGCAGGCGGUUUUGUAAGUCAGAUGUGAAAUCCCCGGGCUUAACCUGGGAACU